rnacentral:rRNA from 1 species
CUUGGUCAUUUAGAGGAAGUAAAAGUCGUAACAAGGUUUCUGUAGGUGAACCUGCGGAAGGAUCAUUACAGAGUUCAUGCCCUCACGGGUAGAUCUCCCACCCUUGAAUAUUAUACCUUAGUUGCUUUGGCAGGCCGUGGAAACACCACGGGCCCCGGCUUGUGCGUGCCUGCCAGAGGAAACCUAAACUCUGUUUUUAGUGAUGUCUGAGUACUAUAUAUAAUAGUUAAAACUUUCAACAACGGAUCUCUUGGUUCUGGCAUCGAUGAAGAACGCAGCGAAAUGCGAUAAGUAAUGUGAAUUGCAGAAUUCAGUGAAUCAUCGAAUCUUUGAACGCACAUUGCGCCCCGUGGUAUUCCGCGGGGCAUGCCUGUUCGAGCGUCAUUUAGACCAAUCAAGCCUCGGCUUGGUAUUGGGCUUCGCCACUCACCUGGCGGGCCUUAAAAUCAGUGGCGGUGCCGUCGAGGCCCUGAGCGCAGUAAAUAUCCUCGCUAUAGGGACCCGGCGGUUGCUGGCCAUCAACCCCCAACUUUCUAAGUUUGACCUCGGAUCAGGUAGGGAUACCCGCUGAACUUAAGCAUAUCAAUAAGCGGAGGA